CGAGAGAGAAACAACAAAGAGGAGAGAUUUUUCAUAAGCUUUUUUCAUACAAAAAUCUUGAUUCACAAAGAUCUAACGGUCUAAUUUUCAAUCCGUUUUCGGAAACGUAAUCUUAGCACUCGGAUCUACGUUUCUACCAAUCGUUUUGAAGCUUUGUGUUAUUUGGAGCUUGCCAAGAUUCCCCAAACACCGGGUAUUAUUUGGGUAAAUUUUUGGUAAUGCAUUGUAUGGUGGUGUCUAGGAGACCUAGUGCUUAAUAUCCGCGCAGCCAAUGUUUUGCGGAUAUAUAUAUUGAUUUGUCCACCUAGCUCAUGGGAUGCUAUGAUUGGAGCAUAUCGCGACAGUCAUAAGUCACGGACUCAUGGGUAGUCCGCAUUUAGGGUAUUGUAUUUAUGGCUCGUGUCUUACGUGGCACAUGUAUCCGUUGAGCCUAUAUUUUAGUAUGUAAUUAAUGUAACAUGUUUUAUAAGCCUUAAAUAGAUAGACUUGUAAAUGGCUAUUCUUGUUGAUAACAAUGAUGUAUUAGAUGUAAUUCCGCUAUUGAUAUGUGUUCCGCUGUACAUUGAUAUUUA